UUGCCCUACGGGGCGCAGCAGUGGGGGAUAUUGCACAAUGGGGGAAACCCUGAUGCAGCGACGCCGCGUGAGUGAAGAAGUAUUUCGGUAUGUAAAGCUCUAUCAGCAGGGAAGAAAAUGACAGUACCUGACCAAGAAGCCCCGGCUAACUACGUGCCAGCAGCCGCGGUAAUACGUAGGGGGCAAGCGUUAUCCGGAUUUACUGGGUGUAAAGGGAGCGUAGACGGCAGUGCAAGUCUGGAGUGAAAGGCGGGGGCUCAACCCCCGGACUGCCCUGGAAACUGUACGGCUGGAGGGCAGGAGAG
rnacentral:rRNA from 1 species